GUGGGGAAUAUUGGACAAUGGGCGAAAGCCUGAUCCAGCCAUGCCGCGUGUGUGAAGAAGGUCUUCGGAUUGUAAAGCACUUUAAGUUGGGAGGAAGGGCAGUAAGUUAAUACCUUGCUGUUUUGACGUUACCGACAGAAUAAGCACCGGCUAACUUCGUGCCAGCAGCCGCGGUAAUACGAAGGGUGCAAGCGUUAAUCGGAAUUACUGGGCGUAAAGCGCGCGUAGGUGGUUUUGUAAGUUGGAGGUGAAAUCCCCGGGCUCAACCUGGGAACUGCCUCCAAAACUGCAUGACUAGAGUACGGUAGAGGGUAGUGGAAUUUCCUGUGUAGCGGUGAAAUGCGUAGAGAUCUGGAGGAAUACCGAUGGCGAAGGCAGCCAUCUGGCCUAAUACUGACACUGAGGUGCGAAAGCAUGGGGAGCAAACAGGAUUAGAUACCCGAGUAGUCC
rnacentral:rRNA from 1 species